rnacentral:lncRNA from 1 species
UUUUUUUUUUUUUUUUUUUCUGAAGUUAGUUUUGAUAAGUAAACAGAGCUAUGAAACAGGGAACAAAAAAAAACCUUUUUUGUCCCCACAUUGAAGCUUUCAUUAAAAAAAAAAAAAAAGCUACAUUGUCAAUAGUUUUGAAAUGAAUAGAUUCCAGACAAUGAAGUAAAGGACUAACCAUCUGCAUACUGAUGGGUUAUAUGCUAAGAGUGUAUCAGCCCAUAUGUUUCAUUACAGACGUUAUUCUUUCCAUAUUACAGUUGCAGAAAGUGAGCUAGUAACUUUCUAAGGGUCAUGCAUCUUCAAGUCCUCAGAUUUCUUGAUAAUAUUUCCAGAAAGAUGUUACAUUUUCCUUCCUUUCUACAGAAAUAGUGACCAGUGUAAGCUUACUUCUGUUCUAAUUCUGCAGGUAGAAGAUUGGCUUGAUGAUAAUGUCACAAUUUCUUUGUAGCAAUACUAUAGUCUGAGACUUUCUGCUCUUUUUGAAGAAAAUGCUUUGUAAGUAUUUUCAGCAGCAAAUUUAAGAUUAUUGACCUCCUUUAGAGUAUUUAUUUUUACCUUAAACUCUUCUUGAAUUUCCUAUUUCACACAAUCCUUUGGGGAAAAAUUACUAAUAAAUCUUGGAUAUAGCAAUGUUGCAGAGAAGCAAUUAUUUUGGAUUUCCUGACAACAAAAACUGAAUGUCCACCUAUCUUUCCCUUCAUCAUAUACCUGAUAAGUGCCAGUGUGUUUUGCCAUUUGACUACUUGAAAGUUCUUAGCAAUUAAUUUUAUACACAAAAUGAACAAUUUCCAUAACCAUCAUUACUAAUUAUAUAUUUUACUCUUAUAAUAACAUAUACAUAUACUUCCCUUGACAGAUAAAAUCCCAAUAUAUGAAAUACAUUGCAACCUACAUUUAGAAUUUGAAAGUGUGUAGUCAGAUAUUAAUGAUAAAUCUGCAUGAUGUGCUUUGUUCUUGUUCCCAAGAUUCCAUUUCAUGGCAACCUACAGGAUUUUACAGUUACAACCACACAGAAG